rnacentral:lncRNA from 1 species
UAUCAUGCAUGUUUUCUUCUUCUAAAACCAACUUCACAACUCACACAAAAGAGUUAUUAGCAUAUCAAACUUGUUAUAGACAACAUGUCUUCCAUUAACAGCUCUUUCUUUGUUAUGGUUUCUAUUCUUUCUCUUUUGGCUUUUUCAAGCAAUGCACAACUUUCUCCCACCUUUUAUGCCAGAACUUGUUCCAACCUUCAAACCAUAGUGCGCAGUACAAUGAGACAAGCCAUUGCCAGAGAAGCUAGGCUUGGUGCCUCUAUUCUUCGNUUGUUCUUUCAUGAUUGCUUUGUACAAGUAAACCUUGCUACCCCUCUUUGCCCUUUCAUCUAAACAUACAUUUUGUUCCAUAUUAGGAUCAUCUGUGUCCAAAUGGAACCCGAAUUUACACUUUUAUCUUCUGCAUUUUCUUUAACUUUCUAGCUUUUUGAUUGCAUGUGCAAAGUUCAAACCUAUUAUUCUCUUUNUAGUUUUGAUUAUUUCUUUGUUUGCAGGGCUGUGAUGCAUCAAUUCUACUGGACGACACUGCAACAUUCACAGGAGAGAAAAAUGCAUUUCCUAACAGAAAUUCAGCGAGGGGCUUCGAAGUUAUUGACACCAUUAAAACCAACGUUGAAGCUGCUUGCAAUGCCACUGUGUCUUGUGCUGAUAUUCUUGCACUUGCCACAAGAGAUGGAGUAGUUCUGGUGAGUCUAAUUCUCCAUGAUUUAUAUAAUUACCAAACCCUNCUAACAAAAUUAUAGUAGUUAACAGAAAAAAAACAUGAUGGAUGAAGUAGGAAAUAACCAAUUAGAAUAAUUUAUCUUAUUUAAUUAGNAAAUCAGUGAAUAAAAGUAAAAUAUGAACAGUAUACUUAUAUGCAGGCUAUUUCCUUCUCCUCUUCAGACUGCGUUCUGAUGUCACUAAAAUUCUGAUGUNAAGUCAUUCUCACAAUAAGUCAAGUAGUGAUUAACUUGAUGUCGGUUUCUCUCUUUAUUUCCAUUUUCUUCUGCAUUAGCGUGUUUUCAAACCAUUCGUUUUCACUUUUCUAUCUUAACCUAUCAUCAUGCAGUAGUGGGGCAUUCGNUUUCACCUAAAAACAUCACACAGUAAACAAAAUCAUCAUUUAAAACAAAAAUCAAGGUUCAUGUCUCAUGCCUACCUUAUCAAGAAAUUUAUGGUACCCUAUAAAAAUAAAGGUUUCUACAAUCCCACCAAAUAUNUCCUUUCUCUUUUUAGUGUGUCCAACUACCGAUCAUCAACAUCUCUCUCAAAUGUAACCAAAAGAAAGUAUUAGAUGAAGAUGUGUUCUUAGUGCAGUACGAUGAAAAUGUUUUUUUUUUCCACAACUGAGUAAAGAAUUUAAAAUCCAUGAUUAUUUGCAGCUAGGAGGACCUUCAUGGACAGUGCCUCUAGGAAGAAGAGAUGCAAGAACAGCAAGUCAGAGUGCAGCCAACAGCCAAAUCCCUGGACCUACCUCAGACCUCUCUACACUGAUAACCAUGUUUGCAGCCAAAGGUCUGACAGCAAGAGACCUAACAGUGCUCUCAGGAGGCCACACAAUUGGCCAAGCACAGUGCCAAUUCUUCAGAACUCGCAUAUANAACGAAACCAACAUUGAUCCUAACUUUGCCGCCACAAGAAGGGCCAAUUGUCCUGUUUCUGGAGGGAACACCAACCUGGCCCCUCUUGACACCGUCACACCAACCCGUUUUGACAACAAUUACUACACUGACCUUGUGAACCAACGNGGUCUUCUCCACUCUGACCAAGUGCUUUUCAAUGGUGGCUCUCAAGAUGCCCUUGUGAGGACCUACAGUGGCAAUUCUNCUGCCUUUUUCAGGGACUUUGCUGCUGCCAUGGUGAAGAUGGGCAACAUUAGUCCUCUCACUGGGUCCAAUGGAGAGAUUAGAAGGAACUGCAGGGUGCUGAAUUGAUCAUAAUAUGGCAAUAAUAAUAGUAAUAAUGAUCAUCAUUAUCAUCGUGCUUAUGCCGUUUUGUUCCUGUUUGUGUAGCUGAUGAUCACCAUAAUAACUAGAGGACCCAUCAGCAUGGUGUUAGAAGUAACGUGUUUUAGGAUGAAGAAAUUUUAGUGAUUAAUUACGAGGUUGUGGUCAAAAGUUGACUACAUCUUUCGUGUACCUUGGUUUAUAUAUUACAAUGUUACUGUUUUUUUUUGUUAUUUACUUGUUAAUUUCUAGCUUUUAAGGUUUUUAUUUUCUUAGGUUGUUAUUCCCUAUUGGACCACUUCUUGUCCCAGCCCACAUUUAUGUAUUUUCAAAUUUUCUUCAUCUUAUUUUAAGAUUAGUAUUGCAAAGUUAGUGCAAUCACUAUUCCUUUGUGUGAAUAAAUUGAUUUCUAAAUUCUAAUAAAAGAUAUAAUUAAAAAUCACGGAAGAUAAUAAACUAAUCUCUACUAAAAAUUAAUCACGAACUUGGUAGAUAACUCACAUUUAUAAUAUAAUUAAAAAAUUUAUAAUAUCAAUUAUAUUAUUGUGUUGCGUAUUGGUAAUAAAGAAAAACUUUACUUUUGAUCUCAUAAUUUCAUUGCACAUUAAUUCCUAAAAUUGAUUGGUAACGUUCUUAACUUGAAGGUAGAGUCCUCAUAGCAAUAAAUUUAGUUUUGGUGAGAUAAUGGUUAUUCAUUUGGUUUAACGUUGACUCUCACAAUUGAAGCUUUAAAAAAAGCUGACAUAAUUUCUAAGACUUUGAGAGGAAAAUGAAAAUUUGUCUUACAAAAUUGUAAUAUUUCAAAAUAUAGUAUAGAUAAUAUAUAAAAGAGUCACACAGUUAUGAUAAGUAUAGGAAUUAUCCAACUAGAUUAUAAUGUUUUAACUUUACAGUUAUAUAAAAUAACCAUAGAAAUUUAAAUUUUAUAUACAAAAGAUCCUACGUCAAAACUAUAUACAAUCUAAAACUCUGAAAGUAACUACGUCGCAGCAUCACCUCUAUCUAUUGCUUGCUCUUGAGACACCUCUUCUCCCUUUGCUCACACCUGCAAACACCUGUAAGAUGAUCAUAGUAAAAAGAGAGAAGACAGGGAAAACAUAGAACACAAAACACAACAGAAGGGUAAGCUAGAAGUAAAAACAAUUAAUGAUAUAUAUAAAUUCAAUUAAACAUUCAUAGAAGUUGCAUAUACACAUAUCAUGACAAACUAAACUUUAUAUUUGACAGACUGUUGACUUGACCAUCCGAAUUAGUAUGAAUAUGUAGCUAUGACAGUUCAUGCACUUGUUUAUUUAAUUUUAUAUAAGAAGAAAAGGUAUCAGCACGAAGACGAUGCGAACGAUUACAUACGUGCUUAAACCUUUAAAACAUUUUUUUUUAUAUUUUUGUUGUUUUUGAUAUUUAUUUAAAAGUAAAUAACUAAAUGGAAAAAAAAAAGGGUGUUUAGACUAAUUUUUAUUUUAAAAACAGACUGGGCCUAACCCCAAGUGGAAAAGGAGUGAUGAAAGGGAAAAUAGGGGGUGCAAAAGGAGUAAUCAAACAUACAAAAAACAUAAAAGAAGAAAAAAAAAACAGAAAAUAAAAUAGGAUUGGACCAGACCCAGGCCCAAAAUCCUUUCCUCCCCAGAUCAGAAACCCCAAGGGGUCUCACACUCUCCUCUCCAUUUCAUUCAACGCAGAAUAAGAGACCUAGGGUGUCUCUCACACCUCCUAGCCGGCGGACCUGAGGUCACCAUCUUAACCACCCGUCUUCUCCACCACAAACUGCCGUCAAUGGCGUCGCCGGUGGCAUCACGUGCCCAGAGCCACCGUCGAACCCGACAUCUCGCCCUUUUUCCCAUUUCUUCUCGUGCGACGAUGGCCACCCACCGAACCAGCACCGUCGCACCCCGAGACGCUUUCUCACCGCCGUCGACGAGGUCUGCUACUGCCGGUGAUCGCAACCUUUGCCUAAAGCGUCACACAAACCCUCUCCCCUCUUCUUCGAAUUCGAACACGCCACUACCGCCAGAUAAGAUGGGCGUUGCCGCUGCGCGUCCCCGUUCAACCACACUGUCGAUCACUGUGCAUCCACCUUCCUCUUCGAAACGCGAGCUCUGCUUGACUGGGCGUGAGUUUCCGAUAGUGUUGUGAGUGUUGGGUUGUUGGCUUCGAUUGACACAACCGAAGGGUGAAAGGAACACACUGUGGUGUUCCUGAGUGAAUCUGUGUGAGCUGGGGAACGAAGAUGACACUCUGGUUGCGAUGCAGGGGUUUAUGGAGAUGAAAAUGGGUUCUCUGUCCUUGCGUGUGCUUCUUUGUGGAUUGAAUGAAAAUGGAGAUUGGUGUUGAGUGGUUGAUUCUUAUUUUUGUAACUUUUUGCAGGUUGAGGAUGAUGGUGUUAUGCGUGUAGGGUGGAGGAGAAUAGAAUGGUGAUUGGGGCGAUGGUUUUUGUGCGUGUUACCCCUGUGAAGGCUGGACAGUAAGGGUGUUGGAAGAAGAACGAUGAAUUUGAGUGAUUUUCUGCUGAAAUCUAUGGGGAAAAAGUGAGGGUUAUGAAGUUGAUUUGGUCUUAUCUGUUUUGGUUUGAAUGCAGGGAAAAUAGUUGAGAAGUAUGAUAAGGAGAGUGGGAUCCUGUUGUGUGUGAUAUGUGUGGAUUUUUUGCUCUUAAAAACGAAAGAUGAGGAGGGAGCAAGUGGUUGUGUGUGAUGGUUGCAGGGAUGAACUCGGCUGGAGGGUCUGUGCGUGAGGGAGGAUGGUGGUGGUGAUACUGGAUAAGGGUGGAGAUUUUAAUAAAAGGCAAAGACACAAACAGAGGUUUCAGGUCAAAGAGGGAGUGUGAUAUGCAUAGGCGGAUGAUGAAGAAAGGGGAAUACUCACACCAUGAUACAAUCUCAAUCAGAGCAACAUCAAGUAUAAUAUGAAGCACAAUGCAACAAGCUUACCUGAAGAUACAAGUGAACAGAGUAAGCUUACCUCUUGAAACUAUGCUUGCUACUACUAGCCUAGUACCUCCGGCGACCACCUCCCUUCUCUUUGCUGGCUUUCUUUUGUUUCUUUGUAGGUGAACGAAGGAUGCAGGUGUGUGAUGGAUGGUGUCUCAUCUUGAAUGCUUGAAAAAGGAAAUAAUGGGAUAGAGGGUUAUGCGUGUGUGCGUGAUGGAAGAACGGUUUCAGUUCAGUGAGUAGAGAUUUAAAAGUGUAUUUUUUUCCUUCCUUGAGAUUUUUUUUUUUUUUAUGUUCUUGCCUGUGCUAGCAAGUUAUGGUAAGAGUGAGCAUUGGAAGUGGAUUUUGGUUGAUGAAGGAAACUCCUGGGGAGAUGUCUCGAUUAUUGAGUGUGUUUUUUUUAGAAGAUGGAAGAGUGAUCCGAAGUUUAGAAGAAAGGGUAGGGGAUUCUGCGUGUGUGUGGGAGGAUCCUCUGCCUGUAAGGGAGGAACUCUCUUUUGUUCUCUUCCCUCAGUGUUAGAUAUAUUUUUUUUUAUGACCGUGAUGAAACCAUUUCAAAAACCAAGCCCUGGGAUUUCCUCUUUGUCUUUUUCCUUGGUUAUGUUUAAAUUUGAUCAGAUGGUAAAAAGUCAUUCAGACAUCUUUCCUCCUUUGAUGUAUAGCACAACUUUGCAUAAAGAUUUUUAGCCAGAGACACAAAGCCAUUAAUGGGAUAUUUCGAGCAUUACUAUGUAACAUUGCGGGAUGCACUGAUGAUUUGUGUUGCACGAAAGGCAAGAAAGUGUAGUUGACUUUCGUUUUCCUUUUUUUCUUUUUUUUUUUCCGUAUUCUCUUAUUUUUUUUCUUUUCUCUUUUUCUUCUUUUUUCGUUUUUUCUUUCUCUUUUUUUUUUCUUUUUUUGUUUUAAAAAAGAAACUAAAUCAAAUACUCAAUAGUAAAAUAAAAAUAAAAUAACAUAAAUAAAAAGAAAAUAAGACAAGACAAAAAUAAAAAAAGAUUUAUUAUUCAGUCAAUCCGAACGAAAUCGGGUGUUGACAACGUCAAUGUGGUAGGAUCUGACGUUUGUAGGCUGAAAAAAGUGACUAUUCAUCUGUCUGGCAGACAUAUAGGCGUCAGUUACAACGAGAUCGACGUCUAUAUGUCUGACAGGUUGGUGGGGAGCAUUAAUUUUCGCCAUAUAGACGUCGGAGCCCCUUCAAUGUGGCGGGAUUUGACGUCUAUAAGGCUGAAAACAGUGACUAUUCACCUGCCUGGCAGACUUAUAGGUGUUAGUUAGAAGGGGACCGACGUCUAAAUGUCUGAUAGGUAGGUGAGCAACAUUAAUUUCCGCCAUUUAGACGUCAGAGCCUCAAACGAACCAAUGUCUAUAAGGCUGAUGGAAAUGACUUUUCACCUAACGGUCAGAAAUAUAGACGUCAGGUUUGAAGGGUCAAUGUCUAAAAUUCUAUAGACGUCGGAGAUGGACCUAACUGACGCCUAUAUUGCCAACUUAUUUACGGAAAUGUCAUCGAUCAUCAAUAUAAGUCACGGGUGCGCGUAACUGAAGUCUACCAUGUGACAUUAAACAACGUUUUUGCAUUAGUGUAUAGACGUUUGUGUUGAUGUAACCGACGUCUAUUUUCGACUAUAGACGUCGUUGUGGAGGGGUGCGACGUUUAUAUGUGACUAUUCACCUACCUGGCACACCUAUAGAUGUUAGGCUGAAGUGGCACUGACGUCAAUGAUAUUAUAGACGUCGGCUAUCCAACUAACUGACGUCCAUGGGCCUGACUUAUUUACGAACUUGCCACCGGUCAUUAAUGUACGUCAGUGUAACCUCUAACCGACGUCUAAGGGGUGGCGUUAAAUAAUGUUUUUCCACUAGUGUGAGAAUAGGUGACCAUUAGAAUGUUAGGAUGAACUCUAGGACUAGGCUUCCCAUAUUCAUACUUAUAAACUUUAACAAACAUCACUGAGAUAUUCCCCCUUGGAAUUCUCUUCCACACCAUUUUGAAAUCAUAAACCUUAGUUUGAUACUUACAUAACACUCGUUCAAUAUCAUACAUCAACCACAACCAAGUCAAUUUCAUUACUUCACAAACAAGAUUGUUGUGAAGCAGUGGUUUAGCUAAACCUUACAAUCUCGUAUAGCUUCUGGUUUUUGAUGAUGACAACACAUUAUUAAUAACAACAUGUGUUCUUACAUGUUCAUAUGUGUUACAUGUUCUUUACUUUAAUGUGAAUGAUUUCUUGAGAACAUGUUUGUGUUAAUUCUGUCUAUGUGUGCAUAUUCACUGUGUUCUACAUGAGAUAUCAUCUGCAUUCUACAUGCACUUUGAUUGAACUUAUAUUGUGUGGCAAAACUGCAAGUUUUAAGUCGACCUCAUUAUGAAGCAAGUCAAUUAAAACUCGUGACUUUGUACAAAUUUUCUAAAACAGUGCUGUGAGUAUUUUUACAAAGAAAGAUUUUCAAAACUGCAUUGAAAUGUCAAAGUCGACUAUAUGUGCAAGCUACUCAACUUAGUUAGUUAUGUUUUGAAUUUCUGUUGAUGCUUGUGAAGUAUAAUGGCUAUAUUUUGUUUCUUUGACUAAUCAUUAAUUGUUAAUCAACUGAAUUAAAUGUGCAAUCAAUUUAGUUGGUAUGAAUGCUACUAAUUUUUAUAACUAUCAUAACUGUCUAGCUAUAGUCUAUUAGUAGCAUAGUCAACUUUGGGAGCGUCUGUUUAACAGAAAUCUAUAUAUAGACGUGAUUCUGUAUUUUACAGAGACUUUUGGUAAUUCUAACAUUUUCAUUGAAUUGUUUCAGAUCUUGAUCUUUGUUAGAAAGUGAAAAGCUCCAAGAACUUAUCAAGUGGUGAUCAUUCUUUAAGAGUUGCUUGACGAGCAAGUAUUGGUGUGCGCAUAGACUGCUUGAUCAUUCUGCACUGAAGGUGUUUCAUACGUGAUCAAAUAUUUCUCUCAAUCAUGUGAAGAUUGUGGCUACCCUUUUGUGAUUACAGGAAGAGGACGUGUUGUGUUCUGGGAAACUUUGAGGAUUGUUCAAAGUUGUCAAAGACUGUAGGAGAGGGGAUAUCUUGUUGUUGUUCUUUGGGUGUUGUAUGCCUAUAUUUUGAUUAGAGGGUUAGAGAGGUGUUUUAUAUUUUGACGUGGAGGUCUCUAUAGAAACUUUGUUGUAAAAGCCUUGACCAUUAUAGUGUAUUUGCUUCCGAGUACAGGAAGGACACUAGAUGUAGGCAGUUUGGCCGAACCAGUAUAAAAACUGCGUUUGAAUCUUCUAUCCCUUAACUCUUUAAUUUUCAAGUCGACUUUAAAUUCUGCACAGUAAACUAUUUUUCGCUGCACUUGAUUUAUCCUUUUCCUUGAAUUUCAAGAAACUUUUGAAAGUUCUCAUUUUUCCGAAAAAGAUUUUGAAAAGACUUUGAUUUUUGAACUACACCAAUUCACCCCCCCUCUCUUGGUGUUGAAACUAAGCCAUUCUAUUUUCAACACAUGAUAUUCAGGAACAGUCGCUCAGUGCAUCCCUUCGUAGAGCGAAUCUAGAGGUUGUCGCAGAACGACUCAUCUCGUUGUAUGUUAAGAGUCCGGCAACUGUACCGAAUCGUAUCAAGUAAUAAUAAACGGUAAGUCCGAGUAUCGUUUCCCUUGAGACUCUUAGGCCUAGACUUUCAUGUGAUUUCUUGAUUAUUUAAGACUUGAAUAACAAAAAUUAGGGUUUUAUAAUGCAUUACUAGUUUACAUUGUCUUGUCUCCCUAGCAACUGAUCAUGCAUUACAUAAUUCGCACAAAAGCUUAAGGGCAAUCGGUCCUCUAUCCCUAUGUCUAGGUAAUAUUGCUACCAAGAGAAUUCCCUCAUGUCUAGACCUACCUACAUGUGUCCAUAUAGAUAGAAUCAAAGAUUAUGCUAUUGAAUAAAGUCUUAAACAAAGCAUGCAAAUAUAAUGGAGGAAAAAACCCUAACAUUUAAUGAAUAAAAGCAGAUGAAUAAAGUAUCAAUUCAAUAUAUGAGAGUUUCAAAGGAUUACAUCAAUUCACCAACAACAAUGGAGGUUUAUUCACCAUAACCAUGGCGAAACUAGAUGAAAAUAAUGGAAAGAAUGAAAAGAUAAACCCUAGAUUUGAUAUAUUGGAGCUCCCGCAUCCAAAAUUCGCCUCUAAGGGGGUGAAGAAAGUGUUUUUGCAGCUUUUUCUACCAAAAGAUACCCUCUUCGAUCGUGCAAUUCUAUUUAUAACUUAGAAAAAUAACAGAAAAAUCGGCCCAGGCCCAAAAGUACACCGCCCGGCGGUGGCUUACUGCCCGACGGUGGGUGCGGUACUCAAAACAGUGCCCAGCAGCGUCGCUCAGGCGAAAAAUAGUGAAAAACUGGAAAACCCACCGCCCAGCACCACCACCCAACGCCGCCGCCCGAUGCUAGGUUACUGCCUAGUGUCACCACCCGACGCUACCUACAACACUCUGGUCAACUUUUCAACAUUCUGGUUGACUGUUGACUUUUCUAGUUGACUGGUUGACUUUUCUGCACUGCAACUUGAUACUUCAACCGUUCUUUCAAAUCAUUCCAAUAAACCUACAAAAUCAAGGGAAAACCAAGCAUAAAACCAAGAAAACCAACUUUGACUCUCUUAUUCUCUAACUUAAGCAAAAUGCAUGAUUUCAAGCUAAUUCUAAGUCAUAAAGGGUGUGUUUAAUGUCAAAUAUAAGUAUGAAAAUAAUAGUUUUUCAACCGUUAUCAUUGUGCGAAUAAACUUCCAGUGGUACUAGACCCCAACCCCUUGCAUAGCGCCCCAAGUUCAGACUGUGAUCCAGACCCCCCCCCCCAAGAACUUGUAGAGCGCACCCCUUCAUUAUUCGAAUAUUUUUGGCAGUGACCCCAUAUCACAACCAGGCGCUCAGCUCAUUGAUUCAUUGUGCGAAUCAUCAAACAAAGAGCUAACCCCCACAACCAUUCGCACAGUGCACCCUCUCGCUGUGCGAAUUGCUCAAACAAAGAGCAACUCGCCAUGACCACUCGUUGUGCGAAUUCAUUCGCUCAACGAGUCUGUAUAAUUUUGCAGCACGAAUUUUGCAUAAUUAUGCAACUCAAACCACAUUUACCAAUUCUAAUUAUUUUUCCCAACUUCUAACUGCCCUAAAUUGUGUUAUAUACCUAAUUAGAAUAGACCAAACGUUUUUAAACCUUCCUACCAUCAUUCUAAAGUGUUUAUGGACCAAUUCCUAUUUCAAAACCUCUAAAAUCAUAAUUUAUAAAUCCAAAAUCACAUUUUUUACCAAUUUAAAGACUUAAACAAGUCACAUUUAACUUCCCUGUUUCAAGAGACCGAUUAAGCAUCUAACAUCUAACUUUCAUUUUCACUACUUCCUUAAAAAUGACUUAAAACAAAUAUAAAUCAUUAAAACCAAUAUAAAUCACUUCAAUUUCAAACUAGACAUUCUAUAACAGAUUUUCAACAUUCCAGUUUGUCAAUAAUACAAAAUAAGUUCCACACGAAUAGUGUUGAUGUGUAAAGUAACAACAAUCAUCUUCCUCCUUUUAUAAAAAUAAAUAAAUAAAAAAGAAGUGACAUAAUUUGAUGAACUAAUCAUUUUGGUGCUAUCAUGUUAGUCAUAAAAUAAAAUAAAAAGUAUUAAAAAUUUGAUAAAUCAAUCUCAUUAAUAUUUUUUUCAAAUACGUAACUUAAAUAGUUAUAUUAAUACAUAUUCAAAAAUCAAAAUAGCAACUAAGCACUUCUAUGGCAUAUAUAUUUGAUAUAUAAUUUGUUAAUAAGGAAAAUAAGUCGGAAUAAAGGUAAGAUAUAUUUAGACAAAAAUAUUGGGACUCAAAAUACGAUCGCCGGUUCUAAUUUCAAGAAUUAGUGUUUGUUUACUCGAUAAUAUUAUUCAAGUAUUUUACUUAUAGAUUAUUUAACAUUUAAUUUUUUUACCAAUACAAUAGCUAAAACCAAAAGUUAUUUUUAUAUAAUAGAAAGAACUGUAUUGCAUAGUUAUAAAUUACAGUAAUUAUUGUACUAUAUACUUUUUAUUACUAUAUAACUACAGUAAAAUAUACCAUUAAUUAAAGUUUUUAUCAUAUAUAGUGUUUUUUCCCUUUCAAUAUCUAAAAUCACAUUAAAUUUAAUAAGUUUGAGCCAUGUAAAUAAGUAGACAUUGUCUUUGCUAAUGAAAACAAUAAGAACAUUAUUAUUUAUUAAAUUGUGUUACUCGAUCUAAAUAAUUAACCAUUUUAAUGUAUAAAAUAUAAUCAUUAUUUUAUAAAAUAAAUCAUCCCAUAAAUGUAAAUACUGACUUAACAUUAAUCCAUUUAGACAAACUAAAAAAUAAAGGAAUUCAACUUUAAUCACAAUAAUUUGUAUAAAAAGAUAAAAUAACAUUAAUCCAUUUAGACAAGAUAAAUUCCAUUUAGACAAGCUAAAUUCCAUAUACAGUAAUCUCUAAAAGUUGUAUAACACUGAUGAGAGAAUAAUUCAAACUCUUCAAUCAUUCAUACUACUCAAAAUAUGUUGUUACUAUUACUUUUAGUUUUUCCUUUGUGUUGCAUAUACAUGCAUUUGGAUCAAACCACUCUUUAAGUAUAUCUUUUGGCAUCAUUUUACAAUUUUUCUUCAUUUCAUUUCCAAAAGGAAAAGCAAAGCGCGUCUAUGUAACGUAGGAGCAGACAAGUUUGAAAAUUGAACCAAAUACAAUUAAUUGAAGGCAUAAUUUCCCAUUUUCUAAUUUCUCACUUACAUCUAACUCUUUUUAUUCUCUUCGUCUCUGCAUGCAUAACAUCCUUUUGCCUAUAAAUAUCAUGCAUGUUUUCUUCUUCUAAAACCAACUUCACAACUCACACAAAAGAGUUAUUAGCUAUUCAAACUUGUUAUAGACAACAUGUCUUCCAUUUACAACUCUUUCUUUGUUACAGUUUCCAUUCUUUCUCUUUUGGCUUUUUCAAGCAAUGCACAACUUUCUCCCACCUUUUAUGCCAGAACUUGCCCCAACCUUCAAACCAUAGUGCGCAAUACAAUGAGACAAGCCAUUGCCAGAGAAGCUAGGCUUGGUGCCUCUAUUCUUCGNN